CUCAUCCCGUCUGCAGAGCUUUGUUCAAACAAACGUGUGUUUGAGGGGUCUGUCGCGCCCGAGGCCUCAAGCAGAAGUCAGUCUUUCUUCUGCAGUAACAUUUACUCUACUGGCUCAGGGAGGACGUAUCUAGCAGUGCUCACAGCGUUGUAGGAUACUUGAAUGCAGCUCAGAGGAAAGCGCUUCGGGAACGGCCCGUGUGAAGAAAAAAAAAAGAAGUGAAGAAGGAAAGAAGUUGAAAAGAUGACAAAGCAAAGCGGGGCUUGAUCACAAAGCCACUUCUACUCUGUCUCCUCACUGAGCCUCACACUGUUGAUCCGUCACUAAGUUUAGAACCAAAAGCCUCAUCGUGCGAAUGGACAAUUGAUGAUUUAUUUAGCUGACAAACGUGGUCGGACCUGCCCCGUGUUCUUCAGAAGACCUGAGUCUCUGAAUCAGUCGUCAUGGUUUAGCAACUGAUGAAAAAUGUCUUAAUCGGUGGUUGUCACACGGCACUUUAUUGCAAGAUCAAUACUUUGUUUUUGCCUGUCAGGAUCUCGUCAGUAUCGGCAGGCUAGCUGUGACUGAUUUAACCCCAACCCUUCAUCCUGAUGUGAUGACAAAGACGGCCCGCUGGGAGGGGUGAGGGGGGGGGACACAGCAAGGUCG